rnacentral:rRNA from 1 species
UACGGAGGAUCCAAGCGUUAUCCGGAAUCAUUGGGUUUAAAGGGUCCGUAGGCGGUUUGGUAAGUCAGUGGUGAAAGCCCAUCGCUCAACGGUGGAACGGCCAUUGAUACUGCCAGACUUGAAUUACUAGGAAGUAACUAGAAUAUGUAGUGUAGCGGUGAAAUGCUUAGAUAUUACAUGGAAUACCAAUUGCGAAGGCAGGUUACUACUAGUGGAUUGACGCUGAUGGACGAAAGCGUGGGUAGCGAACAGG